rnacentral:sRNA from 1 species
CAUCGAAGCAACCAUGCCCAGUGAGCACC